UUGUCCUGUGCCUAUAACUGCUACCCUGUGCUCAGUCUUAACAGGGUCGUCUGGCAGGACACACAGUGAUUUACCUCUCAGUUUAGGAGGGCUGUCCUAAGAAUAGGGCUGGCUCUUAAAGGCACGAGAGGACAUU
ensembl:scaRNA Gm23751 small Cajal body-specific RNA 11